rnacentral:rRNA from 1 species
CAAUGCGUCUGGAGACAGAGCGGAGGUAUCCGGGGAGACAGGUGGUGCAUGGUUGUCGUCAGCUCGUGUCGUGAGAUGUUGGGUUAAGUCCCGCAACGAGCGCAACCCUUAUUGCUAGUUACCAUCAUUGAGUUGGGACUCUAGCGAGACUGCCAGCGAUAAGCUGGAGGAAGGUGGGGAUGACGUCAAAUCAUCAUGCCCCUUAUGACCUGGGCUACAAACGUGAUACAAUGGCUGGAACAAAGGGAGGCGAAGGGGUGACCUGGAGCGAAACCCAAAAUACAGUCUCAGUUCGGAUUGAAGUCUGCAACUCGACUCCAUGAAGUCGGAAUCGCUAGUAAUCGCGGAUCAGAACGCCGCGGUGAAUACGUUCUCGGGGUUU